GACGAGGGACCUAGCGUUGUUCGGAAUCAUUGGGCGUAAAGCGGGUGUAGGCGGACUUAUAAGUCAGGUGUGAAAUCCCAAGGGCUCAACCCUGGAAGUGCACUUGAUACUGCAAGUCUUGAGUGUGGUAGAGGCUAUUAGAAUUCUUGGUGUAUGUGGUGAAAUUCGUAAGAUAUUCGCAAGAACACCAAGUGGCGAAGGCGGCUCACUGGCCCAUUACUGGCGCUGAGGCACGAAAGCG
rnacentral:rRNA from 1 species